rnacentral:rRNA from 1 species
CUACGUAGGGUGCAAGCGUUAAUCGGAAUUACUGGGCGUAAAGCGUGCGCAGGCGGUUUUGUAAGACAGUGGUGAAAACCCCGGGCUCAACCUGGGAACUGCCAUUGUGACUGCAAGGCUGGAGUGCGGCAGAGGGGGGUGGAAUUCCGCGUGUAGCAGUGAAAAGCGUAGAUAUGCGGAGGAACACCGAUGGCGAAGGCAAUCCCCUGGGCCUGCACUGACGCUCACGCACGAAAGCGUGGGGAGCAAACAGGAUUAGAUACCCUGGUAGUCCACGCCCUAAACGAUGUCAACUGGUUGUUGGGGAUUUAUUUUCUCAGUAACGAAGCUAACGCGUGAAGUUGACCGCCUGGGGAGUACGGCCGCAAGGUUAAAACUCAAAGGAAUUGACGGGG